CAAUCCUAUUGUUGCAGCUUUUUUCAGCUUUUGUUCUGUUGGUUAGCUAACGUGAUCUCUCUGCAUGCCUAGUAGAUGAGAAGGACGAACGGUCAUGAACAGUUUUGGUACCUGUUCUGGUGUUGAGCUGAUUAUGUUUAAAGAAAAUGUGAUUUACCUAUUAUAGAGACAGUUUGAUCAUCCAGAUUUAAUGGUAUAAGCCAUUAAUCUGGUGUUGGCUGCUUCUCCAGCCCUGAGUGACUAGUAGAAAUGUCUGAACAAAAAGUUUUAAGAUGCAGAAACAACUGUCUGG
rnacentral:lncRNA from 1 species